rnacentral:lncRNA from 1 species
AAUAAUUUAAAAUAAGUUAGUCCAUUAUUUCAGGUACAACCUCUUGUAUUCAAUAUUUAGAAAAAUUUAAUUAUUUAUAAAAUUGCCACAAGCAAGGUUUCACAAAAAUAAAAAUUCAGGGAUCCAGCCAUUUUCAAAAAGGGUUUCCGACUCAGAAGAAAAGGAAAGGGGGUGGGGUGUCAAAAUCCCCAUUCAAAUACAAUUUCUAAAUGCACGCAAAAAUUUACACUUAAUGUUGAAAAUCAAGUUUUAUUACAACUUAAAACAAUUUAUAUAUGGACAUGAGGUACCUUCAUGGGUAGCCAAGGACUUGAAACACCCCUUUGGUCAUUGUUUACAUAUAUAUUAUUUAUAUAUCACUACAUACUGAAAUCCAUUUCACAUUACAAAGAUUGGGCAAAAAAUAACAUGUAAAUUUGAAUUUAUAAUUGACACUGCAAUGUAAAACAAUUCAAUAAAAAAAAGUGCUGUGGGUAAGAUAAUGUUACAAAAAAUGGAACAAAUCAAAAUCAGAAACUGUACACAGACAAUGUGGGGUAACCAGCCAAACACUUAUAUAACAAAAAUAUUUAUAAAUUGAGAUUACAUAUUUUAUUAUGUUGCUAUCACCGGAAGCUGUGCAUUUUUCAAUUGGCUGGAGAAAAACAAACAUAGUGCAUUAAAAAAGUCUGACAAUUAUUUACUAUGGAUUUAUUUAUCAAGGCUCUUACUUCAGAGAUUUGAGAAAAGGGGGACUAGCUGCCAACUGGUGAAAAUAUAGACUGGCCUAUGACAAAAACAUUUUGAACACCCCUCCCCCUUUUCUAACAGUCAUCAAAAACAUAUUGAUCCCUAACAGUCAUCAUUCUUUUAAAGGAUCAAUUAUACUCCCAGUUUAUGUUAAAAGAAAUAUUGUGUUUUAAUUUAUUGUGCCAUUUCCUACUUUGUAAGCUGAGAGAAACAUUAGAAAACAAGUUUAAUGCUGUUGAACAUUAGAAAGGGUUUUAUAUAAACCUAAUUUAUAUGAAAAUAUUAUGAACCAAAAAACUGAUAAUUGACGGACUGUACACACACAAUAAUACAAAUGUAAGUACUGUUAAUUCAGAAAUUAUUGCGAUGUUUUUGUUAUUGAGUAAAAUGCGACCGGGUUAUAAAAUCGCAAUUAUUUAAACUC